rnacentral:misc_RNA from 1 species
AAGUCGUAACAAGGUCUCCGUUGGUGAACCAGCGGAGGGAUCAUUAGCGAGUUAAUUACAAACUCCAAACCCAUGUGAACUUACCUGCUGUUGCCUCGGCAGGUUGCGCUGCGGAGUGCCUACCCUGGAGUGGCCUACCCUGGAGUAGCUACCCUGUAGUGCCUACCCUGGAGUAGGCACCCCGCAGCGCGCAACCAGACCUGCCAGAGGACUUCUGAACUCUUUUUUACACUGGAACUCUGAAACUAUUAUACAAACAAGUUAAAACUUUCAACAACGGAUCUCUUGGUUCUG